GCCAACCAAUGCAUCCAUCAUCCUAAAUAAAUUGCCACAAAUUCAAUAAUGCAGGCAGGAAUUUGGAGAUUUGUGCUAAAGUGGUGGGAAGCAUUUUCUUCAAUGCAGAGAGAAAUGUGGAACUCAACAAUAUGGUCAUUAUUGGUUUCUGUCCAUCCAUUGUUAUGCUAUUAUCAAAUAACAAGACUGCUAGCAGAUACUGAAAGAAACAUCAGUGUGCACUUCAAGCCAGACUUUUCACUUGAUGAAGCCUUAGAAACAUUACUAGAUGAGGAUAUGACUGGAGAUAUUUUCAUGGAGCCUCCAGACAUCAAUGUAGAAACAUGAGGAUUCACUAUAUGAGAAUGAGGUUCUCCAUCUGUCAGUCGACCUCGGAGAAGUGCUGACAUCACUGAAGAGGUGUGGCUACCGAUUCUGCCGCUGUCAGUCAUUUGGCCACACAGCUGGGGCAAUGUGCUUACAUUGUUUUUGUGUAUCAAAUAACUCAUCUACAUGUUUUUCAUCAUUUUAUCUCUAUCAAUCCUUUGUCUAAUUGUUGGAAAUGUCCAAAAAUAGUGUUUCUUGAAUGUUAACCUACAACAACAACAAAUGCUUUAAAGUGUGUAAUGACAGCAUUGUUGAAAUUGUUUGUUGCACACUAUGUGCAGAAGAAUUUAGAGACCAUGUGAAAACACCUAACAUACUAAUGCUAUUAAUGCUACUGCCUCACCAUAUAUGAGAUCCCAUUUAUAGAUUUUUUUUUUUUUUUACACAAGAUGGGAAUAACAGUGACCUAUAGUGUGCUGCUACAGAGGCUACAUUUUCAUGCAACACAGCUAGAAACUAACUCAGUGUCAAAACAUUAGAAUACACGUCUAAAAUGCUUAAAAAAGUUAUAUGACCCAAAAUUUUUAUCUGCUAGAACCAAAACCAAGACAGUUAUUGUUAGCAUUAUUUCACGAUUAUGAAAUGUUGCAUUCUCUAGAACACAUUAAUUCUGCAAUAGUAAUGACAGAUACCUCAAACAGAAGUGAAGUAAACUUGUUCCCAUUGUCGUAAGAUCUUUUGGACUGGAGGAGAGAAUUCAAAUGAAACUUUUAAAUUUCAGUAAUGUGUCAGGUGAAUCUGCUCAAAUUUACUCAGUAUCUUUUGCAGUCUGCGAAAAAAUACUAAACUGUUAUACCGCCCAUAACAAUUAUAGGACACCUGGUCUGCAGGAAGGGAUAGACUUUCAGUAUCUUCUGUAAAACAUCGGCUAAAUAUUAAAAUUAAAUCAGAAUUUUCUUGUGAAUUUUGCAGUGUAAUAAAACAGA